GUGUCAGCAGCCGCGGUAAUACGUAGGCAGCAAGCGUUGUUCGGAGUUACUGGGCGUAAAGGGUGCGUAGGCGGUUCCCUAAGUUUGGUGUGAAAUCUCCCGGCUCAACUGGGAGGGUGCGCCGAAAACUGGGGAGCUAGAGUGUGGGAGAGGUGAGUGGAAUUCCUGGUGUAGCGGUGAAAUGCGUAGAUAUCAGGAGGAACACCGGUGGUGUAGACGGCUCACUGGACCAUUACUGACGCUGAGGCACGAAAGCGUGGGUAGCAAACAGGAUUAGAUACCCUGGUAGUCCACGCCCUAAACGAUGCACACUUGGUGUGGGCCAUUCAUUUGGUCUGUGCCGGAGCUAACGCGUUAAGUGUGCCGCCUGGGGAGUACGGUCGCAAGGCUGAA
rnacentral:rRNA from 1 species